rnacentral:tRNA from 1 species
GUUGGUUUAUCCAGCAGGAGUAAAACCUGCCUCGGAAAUCUGAGGGUGGCCACGAACCCACAAGUCCAGAUUCGCAGGUGCGAGCGCUAAAGACUGAGCUACUGGGUCGAUGGAGAACGUCUUUCUCUGCGUCAGGGGCGGAAAGACUUAUCUCCCACCAAAAAGCAAAAACAAAAAGGAGAAGCCGGUGGCUCGUUGGUCUAGGGGUAUGAUUCUCGCUUUGGGUGUGAGAGGUCCUGGGUUCAAAUCCCAGACGAGCUCCUUUUUCCUUUUCUCCCUUUUCGGAUUUUCAGCCAGGACGUGAGACUAGGAAGGCGGAGGUAGGUUCCUGUUGGCAGGGCCUCAGUGGAGACCUUCCGGGGUCCCGGGACGCAGACGCAGCGGCCUGAAUCGCUCGCCUUGCUGAAAUGGGAUCCAGCGCGGCCAACUGCUGCAACCGCUGUUAAAGGAGACGACCCCGGGCAGCAGGAGGAAGUUAUUUAUAGGACGUUAUUUAGAAUAAGGAAGAACGCGCCGGGCUCAUUGGUCGCUCCAGGGGCAUAAAUUUUUUCUAGGAUUCGAGAGUAUGGCGGCUCAAGUCCCAGGCGGGUCUGAAACAAGAGUCUACUCGCUGGGUCCGCCCCUGCGGCCCCCAGGAUGCUAGGACGCCCACAAAGAUAACCUUAAACUAUUCGGCUCGGCCUACAGACCUCAGCGCUAGACAUGGACGCCCUUCAAAGGAGGACAUUUCAGCGGACGGCAGAGAAUACAGAUUUAUGUCGGGGCGGUGUGGAAGGAGCCUCUGGCGGGUCAUCCCCAUUUAUGGGAGAUCGCAGAGUGGUGAGCGAAGACUUACACCAGCGGGGGCAUCCGUGCGGAACUGAAACUGUUGUGGGGGACCCCCAGUCGCCCUGGUUUCUGGGGCUGAUUCAUUAUGUCACUUAGUUUCUACUAUUCUCAUGCCACCCCGCCAUUUACUAGACAUAAAGCAUUCUUAAGGGAGCCCGGCUAGCUCAGUCGGUAGAGCAUGAGACUCUUAAUCUCAGGGUCGUGGGUUCGAGCCCCACGUUGGGCGACUUGUUUUCUUCCUUGCUACCUUGGAGUUCUGGAAACAGCCAGCGUUUAAUGAACACUGCUAGGUGCCACAUCGCGCUCUGUGAUGGUAUCUCCUCCAUCAUUGAAUUUUGGUCCCCGCGCGCUCGCAGCAGCGAGGAUUGUCUGUGAAGUGACCAAAGGCAGCACCGGGAUUGGCUGGUUGCCAGCCGGAG